rnacentral:rRNA from 1 species
AACGAACGCUGGCGGCAGGCUUAACACAUGCAAGUCGAGCGCCCCGCAAGGGGAGCGGCAGACGGGUGAGUAACGCGUGGGAAUCUACCCAUCCCUACGGAACAACUCCGGGAAACUGGAGCUAAUACCGUAUACGCCCUUCGGGGGAAAGAUUUAUCGGGGAUGGAUGAGCCCGCGUUGGAUUAGCUAGUUGGUGGGGUAAUGGCCGACCAAGGCGACGAUCCAUAGCUGGUCUGAGAGGAUGAUCAGCCACACUGGGACUGAGACACGGCCCAGACUCCUACGGGAGGCAGCGGGGGGGAAUAUUGGACAGUGGGCGCAAGCCUGAUCCAGCCAUGCCGCGUGAGUGAUGACGGCCCUAGGGUUGUAAAGCUCUUUCGCAGGUGAAGAUAAUGACGGUAACCUGAGAAGAAGCCCCGGCUAACUUCGUGCCAGCAGCCGCCGUAA